rnacentral:rRNA from 1 species
AUUGAACGCUGGCGGCAGGCCUAACACAUGCAAGUCGAGCGAGCGGCGGACGGGUGCGUAAUGUAUGGGGACUGCCCGCUAGAGGGGGGUAACUACUGGAAACAGUAGCUAAUAACGCAUACUAUCGACUACCCCAUAUGGGAGUAGCUGGUUGGUGAGGUAAUGGCUCACAAAGGCGACGAUCCCUAGCUGGUCUGAGAGGAUGAUCAGCAACACGGGGACUGAGACACGGCCCAGACGCCUACGGAGGCAGCAGUGGGGAAUAUUGCACAAUGGGCGCAAGCCUGAUGCAGCCAUGCCGCGUGUAUGAAGAAGGCCCUAGGGUUGUAAAGUACUUUCAGUCGGGAGGCGGUACCGACAGAAGAAGCACCGGCUAACUCCGUGCCAGCAGCCGCGGUAAUUC